UACGUAGGGGGCUAGCGUUGUCCGGAUUUAUUGGGCGUAAAGAGCGUGUAGGCGGCCAGGUAGGUACGGUGUGAAAACUCGAGGCUUAACCUCGAGAUGUCAUCGGAAACCAUCUGGCUAGAGUCCGGAAGAGGAAAGUGGAAUUCCUGGUGUAGCGGUGAAAUGCGCAGAUAUCAGGAAGAACACCAAUGGCGAAAGCAGCUUUCUGGGACGGUACUGACGCUGAGACGCGAAAGCGUGGGGAGCGAACAGG
rnacentral:rRNA from 1 species